CAUUAGGUGGCUGAAAGUAAGCAAUAGACUUUUAAACUAUUGAUAGUAAGUUAACGUCUACUUCUAAUGA
rnacentral:tRNA from 2 species